CUCCUCCCUCUUUCUCUCUCCCCGAUUUUCUCUCCCUCUCCGACCUCUUCACCUUCUUCCGGCCAUAACUCCUUCACCGGGCGACAGAUUUUGACGCAUAAGCAAGGAGAAGAAGAGGGCGGUGUAGCUGUUUUCUUGGGUUUUUGGUCGACACUUGAGUUUCCGGCCACCUCCGGCGACGAUUCUUAUUGGGUCUUGGAGUACUUGGAUCAUACAACCAUCCCUUAAAGUUUCUUGGUCGGAUUCAAAGUGUGGAGCACGAAUCGAAGUUGAGGAAGAUGUUUGGAUGGUUGAGACGAAGCUGCUGCCAAAAUUUGGUGGGCGGAGGUGGAGGUUGCCGGUGCAUGAACAGUGAUUGCGGGUGACGUAUCAAACUACUAAUUGGCGAAGAAGCCCUUAUGCGUGAUCGCCUAAAUAGUAUUUGGUAUCACAGCGCCAGGACACCUGCACCGACAUUGCGGCGAAAGCCAAAGGGUCUCUCAAAUCUGCUGGCCACGGGAUGAAGCUAGGGUUCAAACGCUAGACCUGGGGGUUCCAGACUAGGCGAUUCGACAAACACACCACACCACGUGGUUUGUUUUAAAUGUUGAUGCAUGCGUUGUUUCUUGAAUUAAUGCUUUAUUUAAUUAUCAUAAUAUAUUGUCGAGCAUAUUAUUUUUAGUUUCGGAUAUUAUUUGGUUUUGGAGUAUAUAUUUGGAAUAUUGAUCGGAUUUUCCAUCAUGAUUUUAGAACGAGAGUUUUCUACGCUCGAAUUUGAAUUUACGAUUUAUAAUGAUUUUUCGACGAAUUAUUUUCCGAUGUGAUUUCUGGAAUUAUAUAUUAUAUUUCUAUUCAUCGAUUUGAGAUUUUUUUUAAAAGAUUUUCGAAAUGGGAUUUCGAUGGAGAUAUUUUUCUUAUUUACUCAUCGACUUUCGGUUGUGGCAUUGGGAAUGCCUUAUUGAUGAUUGUGGAUUUGGUUUUGUUUUUGAGUUACGAUUUAUAAUUUGAUCUCGCCUAUUUGUUAUGAUUUUGAGAAUAUUUUGGCGUGCAGGGCCACGUCGUUGGAAUAUACUUAUUUUUCUCUUGAGAUAUUGGGGAAGCUUUACGGAUUUACUGGUUUUCGAUUGUUUUCCUCACCAUACUCGGGUCGUUCGGAUUGUGUCUCCUCCUCACUUACUUUGUGUUUGUGAGUGGCAGUCGAGGUGAUUUAUUCUCCUCCUCACGUGAGUGGUAGUCGAGGUUAUUAGUUCUCCAACUCACACAAUCUAUGUGUGAGUGGCAGUCGAGGGUAGGUAGAGCCUAAGGGGCUCCUUUACCCAUAUGGUGAUAUUUCUUCCCCAUAUCCUAUUAUUACUUGACUAGCGGGGCUAGUCCGAUUUCUCUUAACCAGCGGGGCUGGUAUGUUUUCACGAGAUUUUGAGUUUAAAAAAAUACGUUUUAUAAACGUUGCAUGCAUCGAGGUUUUAUAAGUUUAAAUACGUGGGAAAGUAUUCAAGUCGCUUCUUUUAAAUUAUCUUGAUUAUUUAUUUUUGUCCACUUACACUAAUGUGUUUUUCAAUACUUUCCUCGGGGCCCUUCCGUUUCAAAUGCCUAGUUUGCAGGCGAAAUUAGUUGAGGUCGGGCGUACACGGAGUUGAGGCAUAGUUGUCACUGCUUCCGCAUUGUAGGAUCUAUCGAUCCUUCACCCUCUUUACUUUUAUUUCUAUUAUACCUUCUGUUUUAGAAUUGCUCUGAUAACCUGUGGGAUUAAUGUUAUUAAGUUGAGAUUUGUGUAAUGUGAAUUGGAAGAUGUUGUGAUU